rnacentral:tRNA from 1 species
GGCGGGAAUCGACUUGGAGAGCAUUUGCAUGAUAAGCAGAGGGUCGGCGGUUCGAAUCCGUCCCAGCGUCAUCA